UACGUAGGGACCGAGCGUUGUCCGGAAUCAUUGGGCGUAAAGAGCGUGUAGGCGGCCACUUAAGUCCUGCGUGAAAUCUUGCGGCUCAACCGCAAGCGGUCGUGGGAAACUGGGUGGCUAGAGUGCGGGAGAGGAGAGUGGAAUUCCUGGUGUAGCGGUGGAAUGCGUAGAUAUCUGGAGGAACACCGGUGGCGAAGGCGGCAUCCUGGACCGACACUGACGCUGAGGAGCGAAAGCCAGGGGAGCAAACGGG
rnacentral:rRNA from 1 species